CUUUACCCUCAUCUGUAACCUAACUCUGGAGAUCAGCUGGAACAUAAAGGGGCACCACCUAGGGUCAUCAUUCUGCAUAAGGAAUCGGGCAGAUCUGUGCUAGUCUCCAUCCAGGAUAACCAAGAUGGCACAUACCACAUAUCCUACACCCCAACUGAGGCGGGUCAGGUUUCCAUAAGUGUGUGUAUGAAAGGACGCCACAUCAGGGGCUCCCCUUUUACCGUGAACGUGAGGGGGACAUCGCACCAGCAUAGUGGGAUCUAUCACUGCUGCACAUUCUGCUCUAGUGGUGGCCAGAAGGAUGCCCGAUGUGGAUGUGGUGGUUCAAUGCCAGGUGGUUUUCAGGGUUGUGGUCAUGGGCACAAAGGUCAUCCCGGCCAGUCCCACUGGUCAUGUUGUGGAUCCACCUCUGAGACAUCCGAGUGCACCGGUGUGAAGGACUCGGCCCCCCGCAAUCUGCUGCGCACUGUAGCUUUAUGAUGAUUGGAGAUGUUGAAGGACUCGGCACCUGCAAUCUGCUCCGGACCGUCAUUUCAUGAUGGUAGGAGACAUUUCUGGGGUACUAGUCAGAUUCGGUUGCACCCUGGACUACGCUUUAUGGUCAAAGUGGUGGCAAUAAGACCACAAUUCACAUCAAAAUGAAAAGUGCCCUAUAGUUUGUGCAAUAUUAAUUGGGUCUUGAGCCCUUACACAAUGUCAGCCUGAGAAGACUGUUGCUGAUCCAGGCUGGAAAUAGUAUUUAUGUCCCACGGUGCGUCGUGUCCUACAGAUGUGUUUUAUACCUUAGUUGUCACAUUGUCCAUGUGAAAACUGCAGCUUUCAUAGAUAACGGGAGAUAAGGGGCUGCUACAGUGUAGACACCUCCAUAUUGUAACUCUUCAGAUGUCAUCUCCCCGCCAACUGCUCCGAGCGAGACCACACAAAGGCUCCAGGAUCAGAAUCACCGUCAUUCAGUAGCUGUCUCUGUGCCACAACGUGGCGAGGAGCCACCUGAGAACAGUCACCUGUAUUCAAGGAGAACUUUCUGGCUGCUUUUCUGUGGGGUUUAGGUUUGGCAUCAGAUUCCGCCUCUGUUACUCUCCAUCAAUUUUGAGUUAUUGUCCUCUUGUAAAACGGACUGACCGAGCUGAAAACACGUGGGAUGGUUGGCGAAGUGUUUGGCAGUCCUGCAGGUUAUAAUAAAUCACCUACAGUGUCACCAACUAUCACCCCCACCGUCACGCACGAUUCUUCAGAGAGAACACCACAUCCUGGGCAUCAUCUCCUCAUCCCGCAAAGAUACAGAAGAUAGAACCAAAGAUCUUGCAUUUGGAUUUGUCAGAACAAAUUUCUGCUGUUGUCUGAGCUCCUUGGGGUCGACGUGAACUCAGUGGUUCAUCUCCAUGGCCUAUGAGGAGAAUACUGCUUGGCCUUUCAUCUGCUGAUCCUCAUGUACGAAGGUUAGGGGCAGACUGGGAACGUAAAGUGGCCCCGUUCUGUAGUCGGUCCAAAUUGAUGGAAGCCAGCAAUACCAUUUUGUGGCCCAAUAGAGACAAAUACCACAGUCCAUCACAAAAUACUGCCCCAAAAACUUCGACUGGCCGGCCGUGAGGAGGGACCAGGCGACCCCCCGGGAAAUUUCCCUGUAAGGUCCAUGGCCAAUCCGCCCCGACGGAGGUUCUGCUGCACAUGAAGGAACUUUCUAAGUUGCUGGAUUUUUCAGGAUUCAUUCCUUGUGCAGUCCAGACAUUGAUUAUCAUCGUCUUCCAACGUUCUCCGCGUCAAACCUCCAGAAAUGUUCUAGAUAAAAAUGUUUUCACAGAAUUUUUCUUUCAUAGAGACAAUAACACCCAGGCAUCAACUGCACGGUUUAAAAUAAAGACGA